rnacentral:rRNA from 2 species
CGGUGGAUGGGGCUCGAGCGAACUGAUUAGAAGCUUGCUUCUAUGACGUUAGCGGCGGACGGGUGAGUAACACGUGGGCAACCUGCCUGUAAGACUGGGAUAACUUCGGGAAACCGAAGCUAAUACCGGAUAGGAUCUUCUCCUUCAUGGGAGAUGAUUGAAAGAUGGUUUCGGCUAUCACUUACAGAUGGGCCCGCGGUGCAUUAGCUAGUUGGUGAGGUAACGGCUCACCAAGGCAACGAUGCAUAGCCGACCUGAGAGGGUGAUCGGCCACACUGGGACUGAGACACGGCCCAGACUCCUACGGGAGGCAGCAGUAGGGAAUCUUCCGCAAUGGACGAAAGUCUGACGGAGCAACGCCGCGUGAGUGAUGAAGGCUUUCGGGUCGUAAAACUCUGUUGUUAGGGAAGAACAAGUACAAGAGUAACUGCUCGUACCUUGACGGUACCUAACCAGAAAGCCACGGCUAACUACGUGCCAGCAGCCGCGGUAAUACGUAGGUGGCAAGCGUUAUCCGGAAUUAUUGGGCGUAAAGCGCGCGCAGGCGGUUUCUUAAGUCUGAUGUGAAAGCCCACGGCUCAACCGUGGAGGGUCAUUGGAAACUGGGGAACUUGAGUGCAGAAGAGAAAAGCGGAAUUCCACGUGUAGCGGUGAAAUGCGUAGAGAUGUGGAGGAACACCAGUGGCGAAGGCGGCUUUUUGGUCUGUAACUGACGCUGAGGCGCGAAAGCGUGGGGAGCAAACAGGAUUAGAUACCCUGGUAGUCCACGCCGUAAACGAUGAGUGCUAAGUGUUAGAGGGUUUCCGCCCUUUAGUGCUGCAGCUAACGCAUUAAGCACUCCGCCUGGGGAGUACGGUCGCAAGACUGAAACUCAAAGGAAUUGACGGGGGCCCGCACAAGCGGUGGAGCAUGUGGGUUUAAUUCGAAGCAACGCGAAGAACCUUACCAGGUCUUGACAUCCUCUGACAACUCUAGAGAUAGAGCGUUCCCCUUCGGGGGACAGAGUGACAAGGUGGUGCAUGGAUUGUCGUCAGCUCGUGUCGUGAGAAUGUUGGGGUUAAGUUCCCCGCAAACGA